GUUUAUGGCUGUAUGGGUCUGGGUUAUGAGGUGUGUAACCAUGGCUGUAUGGGUCUGGGUUAUGAGGUGUGUGUUUAUGGCUGUAUGGGUCUGGGUUAUGAGGUGUGCAACCAUGGCUGUAUUGGUCUGGGUUAUGAGGUGUGUGUUUAUGGCUGUAUUGGUCUGGGUUAUGAGGUGUGUGUUUAUGGCUGUAUUGGUCUGGGUUAUGAGGUGUGUGUUUAUGGCUGUAUUGGUCUGGGUUAUGAGGUGUGUGUUUAUGGCUGUAUGGGUCUGGGUUAUGAGGUGUGUGUUUAUGGCUGUAUGGGUCUGGGUUAUGUGGUGUGCAACCAUGGCUGUAUGGGUCUGGGUUAUGAGGUGUGCAACCAUGGCUGUAUGGGUCUGGGUUAUGAGGUGUGUGUUUAUGGCUGUAUGGGUCUGGGUUAUGAGGUGUGUGUUUAUGGCUGUAUUGGUCUGGGUUAUGAGGUGUGUGUUUAUGGCUGUAUGGGUCUGGGUUAUGAGGUGUGUGUUUAUGGCUGUAUUGGUCUGGGUUAUGAGGUGUGUGUUUAUGGCUGUAUGGGUCUGGGUUAUGAGGUGUGCAACCAUGGCUGUAUGGGUCUGGGUUAUGAGGUGUGUGUUUAUGGCUGUAUUGGUCUGGGUUAUGAGGUGUGUGUUUAUGGCUGUAUUGGUCUGGGUUAUGUGGUGUGUGUUUAUGGCUGUAUUGGUCUGGGUUAUGAGGUGUGUGUUUAUGGCUGUAUGGGUCUG
rnacentral:lncRNA from 1 species